rnacentral:rRNA from 1 species
GCAGUCGAGCGGAACGAUGAUAGCUUGCUAUCAGGCGUCGAGCGGCGGACGGGUGAGUAAUACUUAGGAAUCUACCUAGUAGUGGGGGAUAGCACGGGGAAACUCGUAUUAAUACCGCAUACGACCUACGGGAGAAAGGGGGCAGUUUACUGCUCUCGCUAUUAGAUGAGCCUAAGUCGGAUUAGCUAGAUGGUGGGGUAAAGGCCUACCAUGGCGACGAUCUGUAGCUGGUCUGAGAGGAUGAUCAGCCACACCGGGACUGAGACACGGCCCGGACUCCUACGGGAGGCAGCAGUGGGGAAUAUUGGACAAUGGGGGAAACCCUGAUCCAGCCAUGCCGCGUGUGUGAAGAAGGCCUUUUGGUUGUAAAGCACUUUAAGCAGUGAAGAAGACUCCGUGGUUAAUACCCACGGACGAUGACAUUAGCUGCAGAAUAAGCACCGGCUAACUCUGUGCCAGCAGCCGCGGUAAUACAGAGGGUGCAAGCGUUAAUCGGAAUUACUGGGCGUAAAGGGAGCGUAGGUGGCUCUAUAAGUCAGAUGUGAAAUCCCCGGGCUCAACCUGGGAACUGCAUCUGAAACUGUAGAGCUAGAGUAUGUGAGAGGAAGGUAGAAUUCCAGGUGUAGCGGUGAAAUGCGUAGAGAUCUGGAGGAAUACCGAUGGCGAAGGCAGCCUUCUGGCAUAAUACUGACACUGAGGCUCGAAAGCGUGGGUAGCAAACAGGAUUAGAUACCCUGGUAGUCCACGCCGUAAACGAUGUCUACUAGUCGUUGGGUCCCUUGAGGACUUAGUGACGCAGCUUACGCAAUAAGUAGACCGCCUGGGGAGUACGGCCGCAAGGUUAAAACUCAAAUGAAUUGACGGGGGCCCGCACAAGCGGUGGAGCAUGUGGUUUAAUUCGAUGCAACGCGAAGAACCUUACCUGGUCUUGACAUAUCUAGAAUCCUGCAGAGAUGCGGGAGUGCCUUCGGGAAUUAGAAUACAGGUGCUGCAUGGCUGUCGUCAGCUCCUGUC